CUGCUGCCUCCCGUAGGGGUUUGGGCCGUGUCUCAGUCCCAAUGUGGCCGUUCACCCUCUCAGGCCGGCUACUGAUCGUUGCCUUGGUAGGCCAUUACCCCACCAACUAGCUAAUCAGACGCGGAACCAUCGUAUACCACCAGAGUUUUUCACACCGCUUCAUGCGAAGCUGUGCGCUUAUGCGGUAUUAGCACCUAUUUCUAAGUGUUAUCCCCCAGUAUACGGCAGGUUUUCCACGCGUUACUCACCCGUCCGCCACUAA
rnacentral:rRNA from 1 species